GUAGAACGCUGAAGAGAGGAGCUUGCUCUUCUUGGAUGAGUUGCGAACGGGUGAGUAACGCGUAGGUAACCUGCCUUGUAGCGGGGGAUAACUAUUGGAAACGAUAGCUAAUACCGCAUAACAAUGGAUGACUCAUGUCAUUUAUUUGAAAGGGGCAAAUGCUCCACUACAAGAUGGACCUGCGUUGUAUUAGCUAGUAGGUGAGGUAACGGCUCACCUAGGCGACGAUACAUAGCCGACCUGAGAGGGUGAUCGGCCACACUGGGACUGAGACACGGCCCAGACUCCUACGGGAGGCAGCAGUAGGGAAUCUUCGGCAAUGGGGGCAACCCUGACCGAGCAACGCCGCGUGAGUGAAGAAGGUUUUCGGAUCGUAAAGCUCUGUUGUAAGUCAAGAACGAGUGUGAGAGUGGAAAGUUCACACUGUGACGGUAGCUUACCAGAAAGGGACGGCUAACUACGUGCCAGCAGCCGCGGUAAUACGUAGGUCCCGAGCGUUGUCCGGAUUUAUUGGGCGUAAAGCGAGCGCAGGCGGUUUGAUAAGUCUGAAGUUAAAGGCUGUGGCUCAACCAUAGUUCGCUUUGGAAACUGUCAAACUUGAGUGCAGAAGGGGAGAGUGGAAUUCCAUGUGUAGCGGUGAAAUGCGUAGAUAUAUGGAGGAACACCGGUGGCGAAAGCGGCUCUCUGGUCUGUAACUGACGCUGAGGCUCGAAAGCGUGGGGAGCGAACAGGAUUAGAUACCCUGGUAGUCCACGCCGUAAACGAUGAGUGCUAGGUGUUGGAUCCUUUCCGGGAUUCAGUGCCGCAGCUAACGCAUUAAGCACUCCGCCUGGGGAGUACGACCGCAAGGUUGAAACUCAAAGGAAUUGACGGGGGCCCGCACAAGCGGUGGAGCAUGUGGUUUAAUUCGAAGCAACGCGAAGAACCUUACCAGGUCUUGACAUCCCGAUGCUAUUUCUAGAGAUAGAAAGUUACUUCGGUACAUCGGUGACAGG
rnacentral:rRNA from 1 species